GUAGGUGGCAAGCGUUGUCCGGAAUUAUUGGGCGUAAAGCGCGCGCAGGCGGUCCUUUAAGUCUGGGUGUGAAAGCCCACGGCUCAACCGUGGAGGGUCAUAGGAAACUGGGGGACUUGAGUACAGAAGAGGAAAGCGGAAUUCCAAGUGUAGCGGUGAAAUGCGUAGAGAUUUGGAGGAACACCAGUGGCGAAGGCGGCUUUCUGGUCUGUAACUGACGCUGAGGCGCGAAAGCGUGGGGAGCAAACAGGAUUAGAUACCCUGGUAGUCCACGCCGUAAACGAUGAGUGCUAAGUGUUAGGGGGUUUCCGCCCCUUAGUGCUGCAGCUAACGCAUUAAGCACUCCGCCUGGGGAGUACGGCCGCAAGGCUG
rnacentral:rRNA from 1 species